rnacentral:rRNA from 1 species
GAUGAACGCUAGCGAUAGGCCUAACACAUGCAAGUCGAGGGGCAUCACAUGAAGUAGCAAUACGGAUGGUGGCGACCGGCGCACGGGUGAGUAACACGUAUGCAACCUGCCUUCAACAAGGGGAUAACCCGUUGAAAGACGGACUAAUACCCUAUAACACAGGGGUCCCGCAUGGGAAUAUUUGUUAAAGGACAACCGGUUGAAGAUGGGCAUGCGUUCCAUUAGCUAGUUGGCGGGGUAACGGCCCACCAAGGCAACGAUGGAUAGGGGAACUGAGAGGUUUAUCCCCCACACUGGUACUGAGACACGGACCAGACUCCUACGGGAGGCAGCAGUGAGGAAUAUUGGUCAAUGGACGCAAGUCUGAACCAGCCACGUCGCGUGAAGGAAGACGGCCCUACGGGUUGUAAACUUCUUUUAACGGGAAUAAAGUGCCCCACGCGUGGGGUUUUGCAUGUACCGUAUGAA